rnacentral:rRNA from 1 species
UACGAAGGGUGCAAGCGUUACUCGGAAUUACUGGGCGUAAAGCGUGCGUAGGUGGUGGUUUAAGUCCGUUGUGAAAGCCCUGGGCUCAACCUGGGAAUUGCAGUGGAUACUGGAUCACUAGAGUGUGGUAGAGGAUAGUGGAAUUUCCGGUGUAGCAGUGAAAUGCGUAGAGAUCGGAAGGAACAUCUGUGGCGAAGGCGACUAUCUGGGCCAACACUGACGCUGAGGCGCGAAAGCGUGGGGAGCAAACAGG